rnacentral:misc_RNA from 1 species
GAUCCUUCACAUUUGGGAAUGAUUGCAUUGGAAGAGGACAAGCAAAUGAAACCUGUAAUCAAACGAUCAGCUUCUUGGACGUGCUGAGUUGAAGAAAGAGAUUUAACUACAAACGAAUAGAGAAAGCCACAAGGUGAGAGGAAUCUUCUGUUGUUUUGUUACAAGAACACUAUUUUUUGGCUCCUAUUCCCAUCCUUGUAAUAUUGCUCUUAAUUUUUACCGUAUACUCUUCCAACGA